rnacentral:ncRNA from 1 species
AUAACAGCACAGGCCUAUUCUAGAGUCCAUACUGACAAUAGGCUCUACGACCUCUGUGUUGAAUCAGGGCACCCCAGUGGCGUGACCACUAUUAAACUUUCGUUUGUGUGAUGAUUAAAGUCCUAUGUGAUCUGAAUUCAGACCGGUAUAAUCCAGGUU